rnacentral:rRNA from 1 species
CCUACCAUGCAAGUCGAGCGCACCUUCGGGUGAGCGGCGGACGGGUUAGUAACGCCCUGUUGAACGUACCCUUUUCUACGGAAUAGCCUUUGGAAACCAAGAGUAAUACCGUAUACGCCCUUUGGGGGAAAGAUUUAUCGGAGAAGGAUCGGCCCGCGUUAGAUUAGAUAGUUGGUGGGGUAACGGCCUACCAAGUCUACGAUCUAUAGCUGGUUUUAGAGGAUGAUCAGCAACACUGGGACUGAGACACGGCCCAGACUCCUACGGGAGGCAGCAGUGGGGAAUCUUAGACAAUGGGCGCAAGCCUGAUCUAGCCAUGCCGCGUGAGUGAUGAAGGCCUUAGGGUCGUAAAGCUCUUUCGCCUGUGAUGAUAAUGACAGUAGCAGGUAAAGAAACCCCGGCUAACUCCGUGCCAGCAGCCGCGGUAAUACGGAGGGGGUUAGCGUUGUUCGGAAUUACUGGGCGUAAAGCGCACGUAGGCGGAUUAGUAAGUUAGAGGUGAAAUCCCAGGGCUCAACCCUGGAACUGCCUUUAAUACUGCUAGUCUUGAGUUCGAGAGAGGUAAGUGGAAUUCCGAGUGUAGAGGUGAAAUUCGUAGAUAUUCGGAGGAACACCA